rnacentral:lncRNA from 1 species
AUGACAUGAUGGGGUGACAUCUUGACCUGUGAGUAAAUUGGAUUUCAAUGAAGUACCGUUUUACAAAGUCGUCUGCUUCACUCUCCCUUCCAGAGUCAUUAGAGUCCAGUGGCAAGACAAAAGUCGAGAUGACUAGCAAUGGCCCAGGAUGCAGUGAAUGACGUUGGCUUCUUUGGCAUCUGACCCAUCUCUAAGUGCUCCACAGAGCCUUCUUCAGCUACCUUCAUGGACAUUAUUCUCCUCUGCCCAUUCUACUGGGAGGAUAUCUUCAAAUGCCGGUGAUAGACAUUCCCUAACUUACCAAUAGGUUUGUGGUCCACCUUCAUUCUGGUUAGCCCUUCUGCAGAGAUGGUUUACUCAAGUGUGGCUGCUGUUUGUGCUACAGCUUCCUGGAGACACGGGUGUGAGCUGGGUGGCUGGUGGACACCAAAGAUGGAAGCACAGCCCUGAAAAAGGCUCAGCAAGCAGAGGUGCUCGUCUUGCCCAUACCUUCAUACACCCCAAGGUUUGCAAAGUACCUUCCAUCCACAGUCCCACUGGCUCCUGACAACAACCCCAUGACCUUGGUGCUAUUGUGAAAGUCCCCAUUUUACACAGUAGGAUCUAAGAGAAGAAAAAUGGCUGAGCCAGCAUCACAGCCAGUGUCUGAGCACUCCUGGCCCUUGGUGCUCAGGGAAGGAGAGAACUACCAGAAGGAUACACAGAGAAGGCACCUGAGAGACCGUUUAGUACCACCAUCUUUCAAUGAGACUGUGUCUAUCUUGAACUUCUAGACAUUGGUAUGGAAAGCUAGACUACCCUGCCUGGAGGAGACUGCCAAUAGCAGGAUUGCCAAUGCCAACUGUAGCUCCAGUUCUGACCAGUGAGUUCCCCAACCUGCCUAUCUUCUCCUUCUGUUACCUGCUUCCAGGAUCCGUUUUCCUCAUGUGUAAAGCGAGGAGGAUAAGAAGGGCCCCUAUUUCACAGUAUUGUUGGGAUGAUCGGACGAAAUGAAGGUAAAUCAAGAGAGAAGUCUGAGGUUCCUUCCAGUUUGAAAUCGAUGAAUCUGGAAUCCUUCCAGCCCUGAGGGUCAAUGAUUCGACAUGGAUCGCGCUUCCAUUUUUCUUCUUCUGCUCCACUUCUUCAUCAGCUUUAUGGUUCUCCUAUAAAACUCUGGUUAGCAAUGCAAAGCUUUCCGUACCCUCAGUCCUUCCUAGGAUCCUGGUGUAGAGUCCUUGGAUUUUUCUAGAAACUUAAAAAAAAAAAGAUCAAGGGAACAGCUUCCAGCUAGCUACCUUCCUGAAAUUCAGUUCUGUAAGCAUCUAUUAAUUGCCAACUGUUUGCAAAGUGUGAAUUGGAGAAAGCCUUAGGAAGGAAGUGCUGGGAAGGAUUUUUAAAGGGAGGUUCUCUCCUGUAUCCACCUGUAAAUAAAUCAGAACUACUGAAGCA